rnacentral:rRNA from 1 species
AGCGAACGCUGGCGGCAGGCCUAACACAUGCAAGUCGAACGAACCUUUCGGGGUUAGUGGCGGACGGGUGCGUAACACGUGGGAACGUGCCUUUAGGUUCGGAAUAACUCAGGGAAACUUGUGCUAAUACCGAAUGUGCCCUUCGGGGGAAAGAUUUAUCGCCUUUAGAGCGGCCCGCGUCUGAUUAGCUAGUUGGUUGAGGUAAUGGCUCACCAAGGCUACGAUCAGUAGCUGGUCUGAGAGGAUGAUCAGCCACAUUGGGACUGAGACACGGCCCAAACUCCUACGGGAGGCAGCAGUGGGGAAUCUUGCGCAAUGGGCGAAAGCCUGACGCAGCCAUGCCGCGUGAAUGAUGAAGGUCUUAGGAUUGUAAAAUUCUUUCACCGGGGACGAUAAUGACGGUACCCGGAGAAGAAGCCCCGGCUAACUUCGUG